AAGGCUUUUACUCAUUAAAUACAGGUAUUGUCUUGCAUUUAUGAAAUAUUUUUUAAAAAUAUUUUAUUUGUCCAUGGCAGUUAAUUCAGCCAGAUGGAUGGUUGGACAGAUGUUUUGUGUGUUUGUGUGUAAACAUUCUUCCUGUUUUUUGUUUUGUAGAACACAAGAAAUUAAAUACAAAAUAAUGCAAAAUAUUUCAUAAGUAUGGAUGUGCAAUAUUACUGGCCAUAGUGCAAAAGGUGAAAGGCAUUUACUGUACAUUUCUCCCGAGAAAAGAGUGAGAUCGUGUCAUCUCAUGCUCCCCAUCCGCAGGUCACUUCCUGUAGAAAUAUGGACUAACUUAAACCUCGUGAGUACUGAUCUGAGCAUCUCUUGCAGCCUGUAGUAUAAGAAACCCACCCUGGGAUUUUAUGAUAGCUGUGGAAUUAGAAGGCGGGAAAUUAACUUUUAUUUCCUGAAUUUGUGUGUGCAUUGCGUAUUUUAUAAAGGCUAAGUCUGAUUCCUUUAUAAUAUUCCUUCUAGAAGGAAGAAUGAGGUAUUUUUCAGUCAUCAUGUAAUAAAAGCCUGGGGUCUUCAGCUUGGCCAUA
rnacentral:lncRNA from 1 species